rnacentral:sRNA from 1 species
ACACGAGAGAGGAGGUGGUCCAGCGUUGAAUACCAGCAGGACUCGUGAGGUGGGUACCCGCUAGACCGCCCGACGGCGUUUGACUGCCGCCCGGCCCGCUGCGAGACACCCCCGGCCACACACCGGGAGUGCGCGACGGGAACUGCGGUCGGCGAAUACCAGGUAGUCACCCGGCCCUCGAAGUGCCGAGCUCCAGUCCGGCUCGGCCCUGCGCGUCCCACGCGCAGGAGCGACUUCGGGGGCCGUUUCCU